rnacentral:rRNA from 1 species
UACAGAGGGUGCAAGCGUUAAUCGGAAUUACUGGGCGUAAAGCGUGCGUAGUCGGCUUUUUAAGUCGGAUGUGAAAGCCCCGGGCUCAACCUGGGAACUGCAUUCGAUACUGGGCGGCUAGAGUAUGAGAGAGGGAGGUAGAAUUCCACGUGUAGCGGUGAAAUGCGUAGAGAUGUGGAGGAACACCGAUGGCGAAGGCAGCCCCCUGGGCUAACACUGACGCUCAUGCACGAAAGCGUGGGGAGCAAACAGG